CCUACGGGGCGCAGCAGUCGGGAAUAUUGCGCAAUGGAGGAAACUCUGACGCAGUGACGCCGCGUAUAGGAAGAAGGUUUUCGGAUUGUAAACUAUUGUCGUGAGGGAAGAAAUUGACAGUACCUCAGGAGGAAGCUCCGGCUAACUAUGUGCCAGCAGCCGCGGUAAUACAUAGGGAGCAAGCGUUAUCCGGAUUUACUGGGUGUAAAGGGAGCGUAGACGGCUGUGCAAGUCUGAAGUGAAAGCCCGUGGCUCAACCGCGGAACUGCUCUGGAAACUGUAUAGCUUGAGUAC
rnacentral:rRNA from 1 species